AGAGUUUGAUUCUGGCUCAGGAGUGAACGCUAGCUACAGGCUUAACACAUGCAAGUCGAGGGGCAGCAUUGGAGUAGCAAUACUUCAGAUGGCGACCGGCGCACGGGUGAGUAACACGUAUCCAACCUGCCGCUUACUCGGGGAUAGCCUUUCGAAAGAAAGAUUAAUACCCGAUGGUAUAAAGAGUUCGCAUGUUCUCUUUAUUAAAGAAUUUCGGUAAGCGAUGGGGAUGCGUUCCAUUAGAUAGUUGGCGGGGUAACGGCCCACCAAGUCUACGAUGGAUAGGGGUUCUGAGAGGAAGGUCCCCCACAUUGGAACUGAGACACGGUCCAAACUCCUACGGGAGGCAGCAGUGAGGAAUAUUGGUCAAUGGACGAGAGUCUGAACCAGCCAAGUAGGCGUGAAGGAUGACUGCCCUAUGGGUUGUAAACUUCUUUUAUAAGGGAAUAAAGUGAGGGACGUGUCCCUUUUUGUAUGUACCUUAUGAAUAAGGAUCGGCUAACUCCGUGCCAGCAGCUGC
rnacentral:rRNA from 1 species